rnacentral:rRNA from 1 species
AUACGAAAGGUGCAAGCGUUGUUCGGAUUUACUGGGCGUAAAGAGAGUGUAGGUUGUUUAUUAAGUCGGAUGUGAAAUCCCGGGGCUCAACCCCGGAACUGCAUUCGAUACUGAUAGGCUAGAGUUCGGGAGGGGUAAGCGGAAUUCCGUGUGUAGCAGUGAAAUGCGUAGAUAUACGGAGGAACACCUGAGGCGAAGGCGGCUUACUGGACCGAUACUGACACUGAGACUCGAAAGCGUGGGUAGCAAACAGGAUUAGAUACCCUAGUAGUCC